rnacentral:rRNA from 1 species
CUUUCUUUGCUGGCGACCGGCGCACGGGUGAGUAGCACGUAUCCAACCUGCCCUUUACUCGGGGAUAGCCUUUCGAAAGAAAGAUUAAUACCCGAUAGCAUAAUGAUUCCGCAUGGUUUCAUUAUUAAAGGAUUCCGGUAAAGGAUGGGGAUGCGUUCCAUUAGGUUGUUGGUGGGUAACGGCCCACCAAGCCUUCGAUGGAUAGGGGUUCUGAGAGGAAGGUCCCCCACAUUGGAACUGAGACACGGUCCAA